GGGUGGGUUGUGAAGCUUGCAGGGUAUAAUGCUGCUGCUUUAUAUAAACAGGACAUGGUGCAAGCGCUGGACCCCGAAAGCCUGAAAAUCUUUGCCAGGCAAAAAAUUUGUGAUCAUAAGCGUGCAGAGAGCAGCUGGGCAGCAGUGGGCCUUGAACAAUGUGAUGAACAUUGCAGCAACAACUUCCAAGCAGGUGAGAGAACCAGAGUGCAGAACAAGAAAAAAGUGUGGUGUAAAGGUAGUAUCAGUGGACCAGGUGAGUGUCAGCCUAGGAACACGUAAGCACAGAGUUAGUUGGAAAUGUCACAGCAUGAGGCAUCUUGGAGCCACCUUGUUGCAUUUCCAAAGAAAGGUUCCUGCUCUUGAUUUUGCUCUGGAGAUAAUUGCAGUUCUUCAUGUACUUCUGUAGAAGUCCACUUAAAUUGCUUGUCGGGUUCAUUAGGUGCUCUGUGGCAAGAGGCAAUGGAAUUAAUGAAAGCUCUGGAAAUGCUGCUUGGGAACGCUCUGUACAAGAACGUAGCUGUGAAACGAGAGAUGGAGCAGAAGGUCCAAGGACAGGAUGCGGUGGCAGUUGUACCCUCACCAGGCAGCCUGGAGAGCGAAAUUAAAUCGGAAGUAGUGGAAGGGCAGGUGAGUUGCAAACGGCUGUUGUUGGGCCAUCUCUCACCUUUCUGCUCAUUUUUCCACUUACCCAUUUCCUUAACUCUUGGGCCUUUUUUAUCCCACAGGAUCGUGAGCUGCCUCAGCAAGGUGAGCUCUUCAGUAGGACUGAUGCUUUUUUCAGCUUCCCCAGACAUGAAGAACAUGGUUUAGAUCCGCAUUUGGCUUAUCUGACUGAGUUGGAGGUGGAGGGCCUGAUAGCAGCUUCCCCCCUCGCCAAGACCCUGUGUGACAUCAAGCAAGCUUUGGUGAAUCUGCAGCAACGUUCAGACCUUCUUAAUCCAGGUGACAAAUCGUAGUCUGUAUUGCAGUUUCUGUUUCCCUAUAGUGGGUGGGAUAUAGGAUUACAAAACGGGAGGAGAGAAGUUGUUUCAUCCUUGGUGCC
rnacentral:lncRNA from 1 species